GAAUCCCGUCUUUGACACGGACUACCAGGGCUUUGUGAUGCGCUCUCAAAGAGUCGAGUUGUUUGGGAAUGCAGCUCUAAAUGGGUGGUAAAUUCCAUCUAAAGCUAAAUAUUGGCGAGAGACCGAUAGCGAACAAGUACCGUGAGGGAAAGAUGAAAAGAACUUUGGAAAGAGAGUUAAACAGUACGUGAAAUUGUUGAAAGGGAAACGCUUGAAGUCAGUCGCGUUGGCCAGGGAUCAACCUUGCUUUUUCGCUUGGUGUACUUUCUUGUCGAUGGGUCAGCAUCAAUUUUGACCGUUGGAUAAAGUCGUUGGGAAUGUGGCAUCUUAGGAUGUGUUAUAGCCCAUCGUCGCAUACAGCGGUUGGGAUUGAGGAACUCAGCACGCCCUUCUGGGGACGGGUUUCGACCACGUUUCGUGCUUAGGAUGCUGGCAUAAUGGCUUUAAUCGACCCGUCUUGAAACACGGACCAAGGAGUCUAACAUGCCUGCGAGUGUUUGGGUGGAAAACCCAUGCGCGCAAUGAAAGUGAAAGUUGAGAUCCCCUCAAGGGGAGCAUCGACGCCCGGACCAGAGCUUCUGUGACGGAUCCGCGGUAGAGCAUGUAUGUUGGGACCCGAAAGAUGGUGAACUAUGCCUGAAUAGGGUGAAGCCAGAGGAAACUCUGGUGGAGGCUCGUAGCGAUUCUGACGUGCAAAUCGAUCGUCAAAUUUGGGUAUAGGGGCGAAAGACUAAUCGAACCAUCUAGUAGCUGGUUCCUGCC
rnacentral:rRNA from 1 species